rnacentral:lncRNA from 1 species
CGGAGGCUGCCCUGUCUGACUCCUGCCCACACAGACCCAGGCUGAGGACAGAGCUCAGGGGGUGGAAAGUAGCUCCAGGCUACCUUGCCUGCACCUGGCCACCUCACCCGCACUUGGCCCUCCCGAGGAGAGGCUGCGUUCUGCUGCCACGUCUAGGACACUCAGUGGGGAGAGACGCCCAGGGGCCACCCCCUCUGUAGCGUGGUGGAGCCUUCCUGCUGGGGUGUGGCUGAAGGGCCUGUUCCAUCUGGAGCUGCGUGUGGCUGGUGAAGAACAGGUGUUACAGCCCAUGGGGGAUCUAACAGGACCUGGCCCUCAUAUCCCGGCUGGCUGCAGAGCAGACCCCAUCUGGCCACCGCGGGACAUCCCCCCACCUCGAGCAGAGCCCCGCCGGUCCCCAGGCUUCAUCACAUUCUGCCAGGUCUGCUGUGGGUCCUGCCACAAUGUCUGGAGGGAAUUAUAGGGGAGAGGGAGGUGCCCCCCCCCCCUUCCUAGGACCCAUCUCAGCUGGCAGUGGUGGGCCAGAUGGGGGCCAGGAUGGCCGAGCCACCGACCCCAGCGCAUCUGUCCCGGUUUUAUGUUUCUGUGAAACGCAAAUUGCAUUUGAUGGCUUCGGGCACCCCUGCAAGGUGUGGAAUGUGG